UGCAUCUGUGAAGAGAAAAAUUGAGGAAUCAAAACACCCACUUGUUCUUUCACUGAUGUCAGACGAAAUGAGCAUCAAAAAACGAAUUGAGUGGGAUGGCAGGCAAUAUGUUGGUUUUGUAAAUUUGGGGUAAACUAUAGAUGAUGACACCCUGCCAGUUACAGGCAAUGCCUUAGUUUAUCUUCUUCUGCCAUUGAACAGCAGUUGGAAAGUACCAAUUGCAUAUUACUUAACAGAUGGGCUUUCUGGGGCGGUUCUGGCCAACCUAACAAAAAAAUUUAUUGACACACUUACAUGACAAUUCAAUUGAUGUGUGUGUUUUGGUGUGUGAUGGUUGUGGGGGCAAUCAGAACAUGCUAUCUGAACUUGGGGUUCAUAUAUCAUACCCAUUAAUCACAUCAUUUUCCCCCCAUCCUGCAGAUGGACCAAAGAAAGUUUUUGUAUUGUUAGACAACUGCCAGAUGUUUAAACUAAGGAACAUGCUUGCACAGUACAAGAACAUCAGAAAUGGGCUAACAGGAGGCACAAUAAGCUGGGACACAUAAUAUGCAACAUAAGUUGCAACAAGAUGAAGGGCUACAUUUGGCUAAUAAACUAAAAUGCAACCAUUUAGAAUUUGCAAGUCAAAAAAUGAGGAUGAAUCUCAGUCCAGACACUUAGUAACUCAACUGCACAAGCAUUGCUUUGUUUGAAAGAUCUAGGAUAUGCCAAAUUUCAGGACU